rnacentral:rRNA from 1 species
UACGUAGGGUGCGAGCGUUAAUCGGAAUUACUGGGCGUAAAGCGGGCGCAGGCGGUGAUGUAAGACAGGUGUGAAAGCCCCGGGCUCAACCUGGGAAUGGCAGUGGAAAAUGGCGGGCUGGAGUAUGGCAGAGGGGGGUGGAAUUCCGCGUGUAGCAGUGAAAUGCGUAGAGAUGCGGAGGAACACCGAUGGCGAAGGCAGCCCCCUGGGCCAAUACUGACGCUCAGGCACGAAAGCGUGGGGAGCAAACAGG